UACGAAGGGGGCUAGCGUUGUUCGGAAUUACUGGGCGUAAAGCGCACGUAGGCGGACAUUUAAGUCAGGGGUGAAAUCCCAGAGCUCAACUCUGGAACUGCCUUUGAUACUGGGUGUCUAGAGUAUGGAAGAGGUGAGUGGAAUUCCGAGUGUAGAGGUGAAAUUCGUAGAUAUUCGGAGGAACACCAGUGGCGAAGGCGGCUCACUGGUCCAUUACUGACGCUGAGGUGCGAAAGCGUGGGGG
rnacentral:rRNA from 1 species